GAUGCAUCUAGUGCAGCAACAUUCCGUGACAUGGUUCCGUAAAGCUUGCUUCUGCUGUCUGGAAGACUGGAACUCCAUUACAACAUAUAAGACUACUAUUCCAAACUUUCUGCAAACUGAAACAUGUGAUAUAUUCAUUGUGGACAGAUCUCUUGAUCUGAAACUGAAGUUGAUCUUGGCAAAAAAAAACCCAGUCGAUGACAUUAAAAUAGACAGAGUAUGGUGUUUGGUGGAGGUGCAGAUUGUGUGUGGUUAGUCCUAACACUGGAUAACUAGAAAUUUUUGUUUGCAAUAAAGAGCUAUGAAAGCAAUUUUAAGAAUUUGGAAUUCAAAAUAUACUCCAAUAGCAUGCAAGGGUUGGAUUCGAUUCCUA